rnacentral:rRNA from 1 species
UACGGGGGGGGCAAGCGUUGUUCGGAAUUACUGGGCGUAAAGGGCUCGUAGGCGGCCAACUAAGUCAGACGUGAAAUCCCUCGGCUUAACCGGGGAACUGCGUCUGAUACUGGAUGGCUUGAGUGUGGGAGAGGGAUGCGGAAUUCCAGGUGUAGCGGUGAAAUGCGCAGAUAUCAGGAGGAACACCGAUGGCGAAGGCAGGUCUCUGGGCCACUACUGACGCUGAGAAGCGAAAGCAUGGGGAGCGAACAGG